UCUCCUAAAAAGAGCUAGCUCAGUUUAUAUAUAAGACCGACAUGGGUAGUCUCACAAAGAAAACAAUUGUUUUGGUCUCUUGUGUUUAGAAAAAAAAAAGAGAUGGGAAGAAUUGGAGCUGUAGUUCUCUUUCUAUUGGUUCUAAUUGUCUGCACAGACAUGAAACAUAUUGGAGCUGCGAAUGAUGACGUGCAGUGUUGUGCCACCCUUAAGCACUUUCCAAAAUGCGAUAGUUCCAAUGAGAAAAAUUGUGACGCAACGUGCCGUACAAAAUGUAGCAAGGGGGGCGUGUGUAAGCCUUGGACCCCCCAAGGGAUUUGUCAUUGUUUAUGUUAGUGAAUAAUAUAACGACAAUUAUAAUUCAGCCUUAUCCCAACUAAAUGGAUUCGGCUAUAUGAAUUUUAUUUGUCAGUGAAAUAAUAAUUUUAUUUUAGUAAUAAAUUCGGUAUGAUGAAAAUCCAUUAGUGCUUC